CACCUGGAAACAGAUGCUAAUACCGGAUAACAACACUAGACGCAUGUCUAGAGUUUAAAAGAUGGUUCUGCUAUCACUCUUGGAUGGACCUGCGGUGCAUUAGCUAGUUGGUAAGGUAAAGGCUUACCAAGGCGAUGAUGCAUAGCCGAGUUGAGAGACUGAUCGGCCACAUUGGGACUGAGACACGGCCCAAACUCCUACGGGAGGCAGCAGCC
rnacentral:rRNA from 1 species